rnacentral:snRNA from 1 species
GUUCUUGCUUCGGCAGCACAUAUACUAAAAUUGGAAUGAUACAGAGAAGAUUAGCAUGGCCCUUGAGCAAGAAUGACAUGCAAGUUGAUGCCCUGAACUAUUGU